rnacentral:lncRNA from 1 species
CGGCCCUCCAACGGUGCGGUGCGGUGCUCUAAAAAAAAAGUACUAGUCCAACCACCUGUCUAAGCUCUCAAAAAAGAAAAGUACUAGUCCAACCACCUGUCUAAUCCGUGUGGAACGCCAGACUCACACUACUGUUGCUGUAGUGCCGUUUUCUCUCGUGUUGCUCCUUCUUCAAUUUCUUUCACGUGGAGAGGUGAUCAGUAGACUGACUCACCCUAUCACACCCCAGCA